ACCUCUGUAACUUAGUGGCAUUGCGCUGGUCUUGCAAACCAGGAGUCGUGGGUUCAAUCCUCAUAGGAGGCA